rnacentral:rRNA from 1 species
GACGAACGCUGGCGGCGUGCCUAAUACAUGCAAGUAGAACGCACAGGAUGCACCGUAGUUUACUACACCGUAUCCUGUGAGUUGCGAACGGGUGAGUAACGCGUAGGUAACCUGCCUGGUAGCGGGGGAUAACUAUUGGAAACGAUAGCUAAUACCGCAUAAGAACAUUUACUGCAUGGUAGAUGUUUAAAAGGUGCAAGAGCAUCACUACCAGAUGGACCUGCGUUGUAUUAGCUAGUUGGUGAGGUAACGGCUCACCAAGGCAACGAUACAUAGCCGACCUGAGAGGGUGAUCGGCCACACUGGGACUGAGACACGGCCCAGACUCCUACGGGAGGCAGCAGUAGGGAAUCUUCGGCAAUGGGGGGAACCCUGACCGAGCAACGCCGCGUGAGUGAAGAAGGUUUUCGGAUCGUAAAGCUCUGUUGUUAAGGAAGAACGUGUGUGAGAGUGGAAAGUUCACACAGUGACGGUACUUAACCAGAAAGGGACGGCUAACUACGUGCCAGCAGCCGCGGUAAUACGUAGGUCCCGAGCGUUGUCCGGAUUUAUUGGGCGUAAAGCGAGCGCAGGCGGUUAGAUAAGUCUGAAGUGAAAGGCAGUGGCUCAACCAUUGUAGGCUUUGGAAACUGUUUAACUUGAGUGCAGAAGGGGAGAGUGGAAUUCCAUGUGUAGCGGUGAAAUGCGUAGAUAUAUGGAGGAACACCGGUGGCGAAAGCGGCUCUCUGGUCUGUAACUGACGCNGAGGCUCGAAAGCGUGGGGAGCGAACAGG